UAUGGAUUCUGGUCUAAGCAGUGAGGUUUGGUAUGAGUCAAAUGCUUGUACCUAUAAGAUUGAGCUGUGAUGGGGAAGCACUUUCGAGUGCGAAGUACCUGAUGUCACACUGCCAAGAAAAUCUUCUAGCGUUUAAUUAUAACCUACCCGUACCGCAAACCGACACAGGUAGUCGAGGCGAGCAGCCUCAGGUGAGCGAGAGAACUCUCGUUAAGGAACUCGGCAAAAUGACCCCGUAACUUCGGGAGAAGGGGUGCUCUACAUUUGUAGAGCCGCAGUGAAUAGGCCCAAGCGACUGUUUAUCAAAAACACAGCUCUCUGCUAAAUCGUAAGAUGAUGUAUAGGGGGUGACGCCUGCCCGGUGCUGGAAGGUUAAGAGGAGUGCUUAGCGUAAGCGAAGGUAUGAAUUGAAGCCCCAGUAAACGGCGGCCGUAACGAUAACGGUCCUAAGGUAGCGAAAUUCCUUGUCGGGUAAGUUCCGACCCGCACGAAAGGCGUAACGAUUUGGGCACUGUCUCAACGAGAGACUCGGUGAAAUUUUAGUACCUGUGAAGAUGCAGGUUACCCGCGACAGGACGGAAAGACCCCAUGGAGCUUUACUGCAAGUUGAUAUUGAGUAUCUGUUGCACAUGUACAGGAUAGGUAGGAGCCAUUGAUCUGAGGACGCUAGUUUUCAGUGAGGCGAUGUUGGGAUACUACCCUUGUGUCAUGGCUACUCUAACCCGCAUGCCUAAUCGGCAUGGGAGACAGUGUCUGCUGGGCAGUUUGACUGGGGCGGUCGCCUCCUAAAGAGUAACGGAGGCGCUCAAAGUUUCCCUCAGCAUGGUUGGAAAUCAUGCGUAGAGUGUAAGGGUAUAAGGGAGAUUGACUGCGAGACUUACAAGUCGAGCAGGUACGAAAGUAGGACUUAGUGAUCCGGUGGUACCGCAUGGAAGGGCCAUCGCUCAACGGAUAAAAGCUACCCUGGGGAUAGCAGGCUUAUCUCCCCCAAGAGUUCACAUCGACGGGGAGGUUUGGCACCUCGAUGUCGGCUCGUCGCAUCCUGGGGCUGUAGUCGGUCCCAAGGGUUGGGCUGUUCGCCCAUUAAAGCGGCACGCGAGCUGGGUUCAGAACGUCGUGAGACAGUUCGGUCCCUAUCCGUCGCGGGCGUAGGAAAUUUGAGAGGAUCUGCCCUUAGUACGAGAGGACCGGGGUGGACUUACCGCUGGUGUACCAGUUGUCUUGCCAAAGGCAUCGCUGGGUAGCUAUGUAGGGAACGGAUAAACGCUGAAAGCAUCUAAGUGUGAAACCAACCUCAAGAUGAGAUUUCCCAUUCUUUAUGAAUUAAGAGCCCUGAGAGAUGAUCAGGUAGAUAGGCUAGAAGUGGAAGGACAGUGAUGUUUGGAGCGGACUAGUACUAAUAGCUCGAGGACUUUACCGA
rnacentral:rRNA from 1 species